rnacentral:rRNA from 1 species
UACGUAGGGGGCGAGCGUUGUCCGGAAUGAUUGGGCGUAAAGGGCGCGCAGGCUGUAGAUCAAGUCAGCUGUGAAAUGUCUGGGCUUAACCCGGGCAUGCGGUUGAAACUGAUGUACUGGAGUGCUGUAGAGGCAAGUGGAAUUCCCAGUGUAGCGGUGAAAUGCGUAGAUAUUGGGAAGAACACCGGUGGCGAAGGCGACUUGCUGGGCAGCAACUGACGCUGAGGCGCGAAAGCCAGGGGAGCAAACGGGAUUAGA